rnacentral:tRNA from 1 species
GGUCCAAUGGUCUAGUGGUAUGAUUGUAAGUUAUUUCUGACUGCUCCACAUGCAAGAGGCCCCGCGUUCGAAUCGCGGUUGGACCC